GAGUGUUCGGUUAAGUCCGCUAACGAGCGCAACCCUCGUCGUGUGUUAUACGUGUCACACGAUACUGCCGGUAUCAAGCCGGAGGAAGGUGGGGAUGAUGUCAAGUCAGCAUGGCCUUUAUAUCCUGGGCUACACACACGCUACAAUGGCAGAUACAAUAGGUUGCGAAACCGCGAGGUGGAGCCAAUCCUCAAAGUCUGUCUCAGUUCAGAUUGUAGGCUGCAACUCGCCUGCAUGAAGUUGGAGUUGCUAGUAAACGCAGGUCAGCUAUACUGCGUUGAAUACGUUCCCGGGGUUU
rnacentral:rRNA from 1 species